AUUCCUCUCUGUUACAUCAUCAUAACCCCCACAUGUUUUCUAUCAUGACGUCAUGAUGCAAAUCCAGACUGCUGUGUGUCCAUGCUGUAUUUAUGUGCAGCUGAGCUGAGUGGAGAGAUCGAGUCUCAUCAACACUCACCAUGAAGAUCCCACUCUCCUUAUUCCUGCUUGUAAUCAGCUUCAUAGGUAUUCAGUGUCAGAGUCUUGAGUCUAUUCCCACUGGUUCAGUGGUGAAAAAACCUGGAGAAACUCUGAGUCUUUCCUGUAAAGGAUCUGGGUUUAACUUUGGUGGCCAUGGCAUGCACUGGAUCAGACAAAAAGCUGGAAAAGCUCUAGAAUGGAUUGGGGUUAUCUGGUACGAUGCCAGUAAAACAAUAUACGCCAAAGACAUUGAGGGACGUUUGGAAAUUACCAGAGACAACUCCAAAAACAUGGUGUAUCUGCAGCUGACUGGUUUGAGUGCCCAGGAUUCUGCUGUUUAUUACUGUGCUAGAAACCACAGUGGUACAAACAUGUUAAUCAGCUGUACAAAAUCCUCCUCCAGAUGUGGACAAAGAGAAAAGUGCUUUCAAUAUAAAGGGCACUUUCACAAGAUCUGCAGGUGACGCUACAGUUCAACAAAUAUACUGUAACAUUGUAGGUUUCUUUAAAGUACAACAUAUUGUCAU